rnacentral:rRNA from 1 species
ACACGGGGGGGGCGAGCGUUAUUCGGAAUUACUGGGCGUAAAGGGCGCGUAGGCGGUCCGUUAAGUGUGAAGUGAAAUGCCUGGGCUCAACCUGGACGUGCUUUGCAUACUGGUGGACUUGAGUCCAAGAGGGGGUGGUGGAAUUCCUGGUGUAGGGGUGAAAUCCGUAGAUAUCAGGAGGAACACCGUUGGCGAAGGCGGCCACCUGGAUUGGUCCUGACGCUGAGGCGCGAAAGCGUGGGGAGCGAGCAGGAUUAGAUACCCCAGUAGUCC